ACCGAGAUUCCCCCAGUAGCGGCGAGCGAACGGGGAGGAGCCCAGAGCCUGAAUCAGCAUGUGUGUUAGUGGAAGCGUCUGGAAAGGCGCGCGAUACAGGGUGACAGCCCCGUACACAAAAGCGCAUGUGCUGUGAGCUCGAUGAGUAGGGCGGGACACGUGGUAUCCUGUCUGAAUAUGGGGGGACCAUCCUCCAAGGCUAAAUACUCCUGACUGACCGAUAGUGAACCAGUACCGUGAGGGAAAGGCGAAAAGAACCCCGGCGAGGGGAGUGAAAAAGAACCUGAAACCGUGUACGUACAAGCAGUGGGAGCACCCUUUGGGGUGUGACUGCGUACCUUUUGUAUAAUGGGUCAGCGACUUAUAUUCUGUAGCAAGGUUAACCGUAUAGGGGAGCCGGAGGGAAACCGAGUCUUAACCGGGCGUUAAGUUGCAGGGUAUAGACCCGAAACCCGGUGAUCUAGCCAUGGGCAGGUUGAAGGUUGGGUAACACUAACUGGAGGACCGAACCGACUAAUGUUGAAAAAUUAGCGGAUGACCUGUGGCU
rnacentral:rRNA from 1 species